UAGCAAAACAGGAAGCAGUGGGUAGAAAUUGCAUGAGGCAAAUUUCAGCUUGAUAUGAGAAACCUACUUAAGAGCUGUUCAGAAAUGGAAUGGGCCACCUCAGGAGAUCAUCAACCCCAGAAGUCAACCCCAGAGCAGAGGAUGACCAAGCCCAGUUAGAAGCAAAGCCCUGAGCAACCUGCUUGACCCAAUGUAACAGGGAAUCGAAGGCACCCAAGAGAGAGUGGCUUUACUUAUCAAGUAUGCUGCAUUUGGAAGAAAUGGACUUUUGACUAGUUGCUGAGACAGAAAUGGAGGGAACCAGAUUCCCAAGACAAUUCUUACAAUAUGGCCCCUUUCUCUAACCACCUCCACCCCACCAGAAACAUGGGCUCUACCCUUGUUUCAUCAACUCUAAGAGGUGAGUGCCUGUAGGUGAGUGUGUCCACGCAUGCAGAAGGGCAUGCAUUUUAAUGAGGAUUGUGUGGGGCCGCUAGCGCCUCUCUGCUGUGCCUCGGAUAGCAACCUCCAGAAAGAGCUCCCUGGGACACUGACCAGGCUUGAUUAAAUGGUGGGGGUGGUCUGUUCUGGAAGAAUCCACUUCACAGAGGGGGCCUCCUUUGAAGAUUUCUACUGUUGUCAUCAGGGAGAAACAUGAAAACCCAGUCUAUUUCCCUGAGCCAUGCUCAGUGGCUCAGUAGCUAUGGUGAUCUCUCAUGUGAAGAAUCCCUCUACCACCCCACCCCCACCACACACACACACACACACACAACACACACACACACACACACACACACACACACACACACUUUCUUCAACUGGUCACCUCAGUCAAGAAAAUUUAUAUGACUGUUGUGGUCAGAGCAGAAUACUGUAUGUCAGGAGCUAAAAAAGGCAUAUCUCUUAAGAAUCUUAUGUCCAGGGAUUCUGGGGAGGCAGAAUCUAGAAGCAUUGGAAACAAGGGAAAACCAAAAGCCUUCUUCAGAAGAAGAGAUCAAGAGAAGAAAAACUAUGCUAGGUCACUGAGUACAUCAUGAGACAUAAUCACUACUAAUUGUUGUUGCUUAACUAUUUUUCUUAGUUGUAAUUGAGGGUUCAAUAGCAGGGGAGGGAGUGCUAUCAACCAAUCAACCAGUGAGCAUUUAUUAAGCAUCAGCUAUUUGCCAGGUACUGGGCUAGGUGGUGGAGAUCCAAAAACAGAAAUGAAACCACCCCUCUCCUUAAGGAGCUUACAGUCUAUUGAGGGAGACAGCAUGAACACACGUAAGAAAAUGUGUACAGAGAAAAUAUAAGGCAAUGGGAUAAGGGGGGAGCAGAUCAAGAAAGGACUCAUUUAAGAAGUGGGGCUUAGGAUAGAGCACCAGCCCAGAAGUCAGGAGGACCUGAUUUCAAAUAAGGCCUCAGAGCAGACACUUGACUCUUACUAGCUGUGUGACCUUGGGCAAGUCACUUACCUCUAAUUGCCUUUUUUAAAGAAAGUGAGACUUGAAAUGAGCUUGGGAGGAAUUUCAAGAUUCUAAGAGAUAGAGGUGAGGGGAAGCACAUCCAGAAAUGCCUGAAACUUUAAAAAAAAGGCAUUCACAAAAAAAAAAAAAUUAAAGUUAUGUUAAUGAGGAAUAAGAAAAAGAAAAAAAAAACUAGAAAAAAGCAAGGCCUCCUAGAAAAGGUGAGUCUUGAACCAGGUUCGGAAGUUAUCUUUGACUACUCUCUCUCUCUUCCAUCAAUCAAUCAACAAGCAUGUAUUUAGUACUCACUCUGUGCCAGGCAUUGUGCUAGUCCUAUAUCCAAUGAUAAGGUUCUGCUGCCUCUCCCUUCAAAAUGUCUCUCUUGUAUUGCUUUCCCACUGUCACCACAGGCACCCUUGAUCUGGGCCCUCACGACUUGACUAUAGGACUUCUGCAAUUGACUGUAAACUGGUUUUCAGGAUUCCUGUCUCUCUCUAAUUCUCAUCAAUCCUGCAUUCUGCUUCCAGAGCAAUUAUUCUAAAGUGCAGUAACCAUCAUGUCGAUCAACUACUCAAGAAACUUGUUGCUUAUUGGUAGAGCCAGCUCUAGGGUACUAAGGCAAGAUGACUGCCUUAAGGCCUAUUUAUCUCAAGAAACCUCUUCCUUGAACACUAACUUGAGAAGUACCUGCUAGGAAAAGAGGAAGAGGUCACUCCAAGUGAGCUAAGAAACGCCUGGGGCUCAUAACCUCUCAGUCCAUAAUCACCAAAGACUCUUCCUUCAGGAUUGAUCUCAGUGGACAUCUCGAGGAUGCCUUUUCUGACCCCCUCAGUUGCUAGCGACCCUCCCCCCAAUUAUUUUUUAGUUACUUCGUAUAUCUUAUGCAUUUACCUACCAGUGUUCUGUUGUUUUAGUUCCUGGCACACAGUAAACACUUAAUAAAUGCUUAUUGACUGGC